GUUUUGUUGACUUGAAGAAGGUAGGGGAUAAUUGAGUGUUUAGUUGAUAGUUUUUGUAUGAUUGAGAAGGAGAAUAUAAAUUGUAGAAUAAAAAAAAGAGAAAAAAAAAAGAAUAUGCAUAGAGUGUCGCGUGUUUACUCUGUUGAAAUGGUCCCUCAUGUUAUGGCAAAGUAUCCAUUAUAUAGUAGGAGAACUAGGGUUUUAUUAAUUU
rnacentral:lncRNA from 1 species